UUGGAAGUUAAAAANUCGUAACAAGGUCUCCGUUGGUGAACCAGCGGAGGGAUCAUUACCGAGUUUACAACUCCCAAACCCCUGUGAACAUACCAAUUGUUGCCUCGGCGGAUCAGCCCGCUCCCGGUAAAACGGGACGGCCCGCCAGAGGACCCCUAAACUCUGUUUCUAUAUGUAACUUCUGAGUAAAACCAUAAAUAAAUCAAAACUUUCAACAACGGAUCUCUUGGUUCUGGCAUCGAUGAAGAACGCAGCAAAAUGCGAUAAGUAAUGUGAAUUGCAGAAUUCAGUGAAUCAUCGAAUCUUUGAACGCACAUUGCGCCCGCCAGUAUUCUGGCGGGCAUGCCUGUUCGAGCGUCAUUUCAACCCUCAAGCCCAGCUUGGUGUUGGGACUCGCGAGUCAAAUCGCGUUCCCCAAAUUGAUUGGCGGUCACGUCGAGCUUCCAUAGCGUAGUAGUAAAACCCUCGUUACUGGUAAUCGUCGCGGCCACGCCGUUAAACCCCAACUUCUGAAUGUUGACCUCGGAUCAGGUAGGAAUACCCGCUGAACUUAAGCAUAUCAUA
rnacentral:rRNA from 1 species